rnacentral:rRNA from 1 species
CGGCCUGCGCGGAAGAUGUAACGGGGCUAAACCAUGCACCGAAGCUGCGGCAGCGAACGUAUCACCCAAGACAACUUUACGGAGUUGACGAUUGACGGAGCGAAGCGACGUCAAAGCGUUCAUUAAAGUCGAGUUGGCUUAGGGAUACGUUCGUUGGGUAGGGGAGCGUUCUGUAAGCCUGUGAAGGUGGCCUGUGAGGGUUGCUGGAGGUAUCAGAAGUGCGAAUGCUGACAUAAGUAACGAUAAAGCGGGUGAAAAGCCCGCUCGCCGGAAGACCAAGGGUUCCUGUCCAACGUUAAUCGGGGCAGGGUGAGUCGACCCCUAAGGCGAGGCCGAAAGGCGUAGUCGAUGGGAAACGGGUUAAUAUUCCCGUACUUGGUGUUACUGCGAAGGGGGGACGGAGAAGGCUAUGUUGGCCGGGCGACGGUUGUCCCGGUUUAAGCGUGUAGGUGUGUGUUCCAGGUAAAUCCGGUUCACUUUAACACUGAGGCGUGAUGACGAGGCACUACGGUGCUGAAGCAACAAAUGCCCUGCUUCCAGGAAAAGCCUCUAAGCAUCAGGUAACAUCAAAUCGUACCCCAAACCGACACAGGUGGUCAGGUAGAGAAUACCAAGGCGCUUGAGAGAACUCGGGUGAAGGAACUAGGCAAAAUGGUGCCGUAACUUCGGGAGAAGGCACGCUGACACGUAGGUGAAGUGAUUUACUCACGGAGCUGAAGUCAGUCGAAGAUACCAGCUGGCUGCAACUGUUUAUUAAAAACACAGCACUGUGCAAACACGAAAGUGGACGUAUACGGUGUGACGCCUGCCCGGUGCCGGAAGGUUAAUUGAUGGGGUCAGCGCAAGCGAAGCUCCUGAUCGAAGCCCCGGUAAACGGCGGCCGUAACUAUAACGGUCCUAAGGUAGCGAAAUUCCUUGUCGGGUAAGUUCCGACCUGCACGAAUGGCGUAAUGAUGGCCAGGCUGUCUCCACCCGAGACUCAGUGAAAUUGAACUCGCUGUGAAGAUGCAGUGUACCCGCGGCAAGACGGAAAGACCCCGUGAACCUUUACUAUAGCUUGACACUGAACAUUGAGCCUUGAUGUGUAGGAUAGGUGGGAGGCUUUGAAGUGUGGACGCCAGUCUGCAUGGAGCCGACCUUGAAAUACCACCCUUUAAUGUUUGAUGUUCUAACGUGGACCCGUGAUCCGGGUUGCGGACAGUGUCUGGUGGGUAGUUUGACUGGGGCGGUCUCCUCCUAAAGAGUAACGGAGGAGCACGAAGGUUGGCUAAUCCUGGUCGGACAUCAGGAGGUUAGUGCAAUGGCAUAAGCCAGCUUGACUGCGAGCGUGACGGCGCGAGCAGGUGCGAAAGCAGGUCAUAGUGAUCCGGUGGUUCUGAAUGGAAGGGCCAUCGCUCAACGGAUAAAAGGUACUCCGGGGAUAACAGGCUGAUACCGCCCAAGAGUUCAUAUCGACGGCGGUGUUUGGCACCUCGAUGUCGGCUCAUCACAUCCUGGGGCUGAAGUAGGUCCCAAGGGUAUGGCUGUUCGCCAUUUAAAGUGGUACGCGAGCUGGGUUUAGAACGUCGUGAGACAGUUCGGUCCCUAUCUGCCGUGGGCGCUGGAGAACUGAGGGGGGCUGCUCCUAGUACGAGAGGACCGGAGUGGACGCAUCACUGGUGUUCGGGUUGUCAUGCCAAUGGCACUGCCCGGUAGCUAAAUGCGGAAGAGAUAAGUGCUGAAAGCAUCUAAGCACGAAACUUGCCCCGAG